AAACAUGAAAAGUCUUUAAUACCCUUCUUCCAACUAUUACACCCUAACCUCCCAAUCUCUGUUUCGUCUCUCCCUCAUCAUUUUGUUCAUAGCUAUUUUCCCAAAAAACAUCUGCAGGUCACUCUCUCUUUAUAUAUAUACAUAUAUCUUUCUAUAUAUCUUAUCCGGAUACCCAAAAAUGGGAGGUGGAGCCUUUAGGUAAGUUUAGUGUGAAAUCAGCCUACCGAUUAGCUGUGACGCUCUCUCCAAAUUCCAAUCCUCAUGCCUUACACACGGCAGACAAUCAGCUGAUCUCUUGUGGAUGGUGGAGUGACUUGUGGUCCCUUUAAUUGCCUUAUAAAAUUAAACAUUUUCUUUGGAAAUGUUGCUAGGAGAUUCUCCCCACAGGCUUUGCUUUUGCUCGUUGUGGUUGUUUGGCAAAUCCGAUUUAUCCAUGAUGUGGGUUGGAUGUGAGGGGUGUUCAUCAUAUUUUCUUUCGUUGUUCUUUUUCGCUUCAGGUGUGGAAGUUAUCCCCCCUCCGUUGGGAUUUUCUAGCCCAUCCCAUUUCUGCUUUUCUUGACUGGUGGAAUGAUAUUCAGGGUGGAUCAGCUUUGUCUAAGGAGGAUAAAUCUUUUACGGUGGGGAUGGCGUCUUUUUGUUUGUGGACAAUCUGGAAGGCUAGGAAUAAAUUAAUUUUUGAUCAACUUGAAUGGAGUCCAGUUUUAGUUGCAAAUUGGGCUUCCACUCGUUAUUGGGAAUUUGUUUCUGUGCAACGAAAAUGUCAAAUGAUCCUUCAUCCUUCGCAAAGAUCAAAUGCCCCUCUCGCUAGAUUCGUCCAAAGCAUGGUGUUGUUAAAUGUAAUGUUGACACAUCUUUUUCAAAACUGCUCAACGAGGUGGUGGUGGUGCGGUGUGCAGAGACUCCUUCGGUGCGGUUCUUCAAGCGGUGGUCUGGUUUGAAUCGGAUUGUAAAGGCGUGGUGGAGGCUAUUGAUGGUAUUAUUCCUACGGAUGCCUCACUUGUUACUUUGGUUACUGAGAUAAGACAGGAACUGCAAUCUCUAUCGAGGUUUUCCAUUUUGCAUGUUCGACGACAUGGAAACCAAGUGGCGAAUGCUUUUGCCAAUUUCACAGCAGGGGUUGACUACGGAUUCGGUGCUUCACUUUCUACCAUUGUCUAUCUUUAAGCUUUUGGAAUUGGAUGUUGUAGUUUCUACGAGUAGUCUUUUGCUUUCUUGUGGAUUGGUGUUGCAAGGGAAAAAAAAAUAUAAAAAAAAUCUCGCUGAAACAAUAUAUAUAUAUAUAUAUAUAUAUAUAUAUAUAUAUAUAUAUAAAGAAACUGUAAUUAAAAAUGAAAUCAUUCACUCAACCAUAUAUUUGAAUGCAGCUGCAGCCAGUAAUUUAUUGCUGCUAUUAAGCUAAGAAAACCAAAACUAAAAAUUCAUUUCUAGCUAAUAUUAUUAAAAAAGCAAAAAAAAAAAAAAAAAAUUAAAUUAAAUCCUCAACUGUAAAAUUUACAAAGCUCAAAAUUGUUUUGCACCCCCACCCCCAAAUAGAAAUUGGGGAACAGGAAGAAAAAAUUGAAAAUUGAAAUCUAAACAAGUGAUGCAUUUGGAAGCUGCACUUCGGACCGCUUCGCCUCAUAUCAUCAACAAGAGAGCAAAGAUGUUCAAAAUUAAAACAGACUAGAGAAAGAAAAGGGAAGGAUGGGAAUAUUAUUUUUAUUUUCAAAAUUUGCUUUCUUUAGCAAAAUUAAACCAGCUACACAUGAAUACAUAUUGAAGAAACCCCUACCUGUUGCCGGAAAUAUAUUUCCAAAACUCAUUCCCUUAAUUCUUCAAACCUCUAAACUCCUCUCUUUCUUCUCUCCCUCUGUCUCUCUUUCUCUAAAUAUAUAUAUAUACACACACACAUAUAUAUGCUCUUGUGCAACUCUCCGACAUAAUCGAUUCCAGCGGGAUCGUGGUUGCGCGAUUCCAGUGAGGCUAAAGAGACAAUCGGCUGAGGAAGAUUUUUUUUUUUUUUAAGUGUCGUUUCUCUGAUGGUGGGGAUGAUGAUGACAACGAAUGAUGCCUCUUUGACAUUGUUGUACAACAAAAUUUCAAGAAAUUAUAUAUACCGAUCGUUUAUUUGGACUAAGAUCAGGGAUCCAAGCUUCAUUGAUUAAUCAAAUCAAUGAUUGGAGAGUUGAGAAAGAAGAUGUUGCAAGAGAUUUUACGCAAAAAAAAUAAAAUAAAAUGUUGCAGAAAUAUUUGGUCUUUGCUCAGUUAAAGAUUAAAACUAUGGGUAAGUACAAUAAACAAUUUUGAAGUAUACCUUUUAUUACAUUUUUACGUUUUUAUUUAAAAACGUGUGUAAAAAUAUCUUUAUUCUUUUUACUUUGUACAAAAAUAUCUCUGAAUUAAUAUAAGAUUCAUUUUAUCUUUUCAUUUUUCCAAAAAUACCCUUAUCAAAUUUUUUUUUUUCCUUUUGAUUUUGAAGGGAGCCUAAUAUUUAUCCCAUUUUUGCAGAGAAUGGUCUUUAGCGAGAUUCUAAUUGGAGAGCUCUCGCAUAACCAGGUUAGGGAAGCACAUCGAUCACUAGUAAAAGACCCAUUCGCAAACCCCACGUCACCAUAGUCUGUCUUGCCUCACCAUCACCAAAACCCAAACAACCACACCGGCGAGGAUGAAGACGACGGCCGCGAUGAGCUCGGCUGACCGACGGCGGCUCAGAGGGGUCUGAACGGCGAGCAAGGCGGUGACGGACAGCGAUUCCGGCGAUGGGCUGUGGAGAGGACUGGUUCGGCUGCCGCCGCUUACCACCACCAACCCUCUGUCAUAUAUAUACAUAUAUGAUUAUACACAGAUAUACACACACGUAUUUGCACACAGAAUUGUUGCAUAUACCCAAUAUUUCACAUAUAUUGGGUAUAUAUAUAUAAAUGGGUAUGUGUUUGUGUGUGUGUAUAUAUAUAUAUAUAUAUAUGAGAGAGAUCGCGAGGAGUACCAUCUACUGGACGGCGAGCUCUGAUUUGGGCGAACGUAUGGGACGAAUUUGGUCUAAUUUAUAAUCGAUGAAUUCCAGUUUCUUUUCCCGGGCACCACUGGUUCACACUCUGAUACAACGACUUCCAAGAAAGCAAAGUGGUGAACUUUUCAUUGAUUUUUAUCUGAAAGACAAGUCAAGCAAAUCGCCCAGUGCCAAUGAAGACGCGGAUCCGAUCUAGCUGAUCAUUUGACGAAGUACCGAUUAGAUUGGUUGAUUUCACUUUCUAGGGCUGCGGACUAGGUUGGUGUUGAAGUGGUAGAGGAAGAAGGUGAGGUAAGGGAAGGUUGUGAGGAUGGUGCGGCAGAGGUCGGCGCGGCGGUGGGCGAAGGAGAAAGGUAGAGAGAGAGUGAAGGAGGGAGAAGACGAGGGAGAAGGGCCAAGCCCUUUUUAGUCAUUUCACAUAUAUAUAUUUUUUUUAUAUAUAUAUAUUAUAAAAUUUGUUGUUAAGGUAUUUUAGUUCAAUUUUUAUAAAUAAAAUUUAUUUAAAUAAAUGUUAUAGUUUAAGGGUAUUUUUUACAAGGGUGCAAUAUGCACUGUAAACAUAUUAUAAGGAUGUUUUUUUGCGCUUGAUCUUCAAAUUACAUACCUCCGAAGGAAAGGGUAAAAUAAUCCUUCGUCUUUUUAGGUGACCUACUGGAUAAAUUGUAAUAAAAUUAUAAUUCAAGAGAAUUUAUUGUAAUUUAAGAAAGUUUCUUGCAUUUUUCCGUUAUAUAUGAUGUCACCUCAUCAGCAUACUUUGCCGGAGGCUUGUUUUUGUUUUACUUUGAAAAGAAUCUCCUUUCUGAUUUUCUCUGAUAUUUGUAA